rnacentral:rRNA from 1 species
AGGACGAACGCUGGCGGCGUGCCUAACACAUGCAAGUCGAGCGGGGACAUGCGACGGAUAGGAAGUUUCGGAUGGAAUUGAAGAUGGUAUGUUCUAGCGGCGACGGGUGAGUAACGCGUGAAGCAACCUGUCCUUCGACAGGGGGAUAACACAGCGAAAGUUGUACUAAUACCGCAUAAGACCACAACGGGACAUCCCGCGGGGGUCAAAGGAGCAAUCCGGUGAAGGGUGGGCUCGCGUCCGAUUAGAUAGUUGGUGAGGUAACGGCCCACCAAGUCAACGAUCGGUAGCCGACCUGAGAGGGUGAUCGGCCACAUUGGGACUGAGACACGGCCCAAACUCCUACGGGAGGCAGCAGUGGGGAAUAUUGGGCAAUGGGGGGAACCCUGACCCAGCAACGCCGCGUGAGGGAAGAAGGUUUUCGGAUCGUAAACCUCUGUCCUUGGUGAAGAGGAAGAGACGGUAGCCAAGGAGGAAGCCCCGGCUAACUACGUGCCAGCAGCUGC